GCUCAGAUUGAACGCUGGCGGCAGGCCUAACACAUGCAAGUCGAGCGGUAGCACAGAGAGCUUGCUCUCGGGUGACGAGCGGCGGACGGGUGAGUAAUGUCUGGGAAACUGCCUGAUGGAGGGGGAUAACUACUGGAAACGGUAGCUAAUACCGCAUAAUGUCGCAAGACCAAAGUGGGGGACCUUUGGGCCUCAUGCCAUCAGAUGUGCCCAGAUGGGAUUAGCUAGUAGGUGGGGUAACGGCUCACCUAGGCGACGAUCCCUAGCUGGUCUGAGAGGAUGACCAGCCACACUGGAACUGAGACACGGUCCAGACUCCUACGGGAGGCAGCAGUGGGGAAUAUUGCACAAUGGGCGCAAGCCUGAUGCAGCCAUGCCGCGUGUGUGAAGAAGGCCUUCGGGUUGUAAAGCACUUUCAGCGGGGAGGAAGGCGUUAAGGUUAAUAACCUUGGCGAUUGACGUUACCCGCAGAAGAAGCACCGGCUAACUCCGUGCCAGCAGCCGCGGUAAUACGGAGGGUGCAAGCGUUAAUCGGAAUUACUGGGCGUAAAGCGCACGCAGGCGGUCUGUCAAGUCGGAUGUGAAAUCCCCGGGCUCAACCUGGGAACUGCAUUCGAAACUGGCAGGCUAGAGUCUUGUAGAGGGGGGUAGAAUUCCAGGUGUAGCGGUGAAAUGCGUAGAGAUCUGGAGGAAUACCGGUGGCGAAGGCGGCCCCCUGGACAAAGACUGACGCUCAGGUGCGAAAGCGUGGGGAGCAAACAGGAUUAGAUACCCUGGUAGUCCACGCCGUAAACGAUGUCGAUUUGGAGGUUGUGCCCUUGAGGCGUGGCUUCCGGAGCUAACGCGUUAAAUCGACCGCCUGGGGAGUACGGCCGCAAGGUUAAAACUCAAAUGAAUUGACGGGGGCCCGCACAAGCGGUGGAGCAUGUGGUUUAAUUCGAUGCAACGCGAAGAACCUUACCUGGUCUUGACAUCCACAGAACUUUCCAGAGAUGGAUUGGUGCCUUCGGGAACUGUGAGACAGGUGCUGCAUGGCUGUCGUCAGCUCGUGUUGUGAAAUGUUGGGUUAAGUCCCGCAACGAGCGCAACCCUUAUCCUUUGUUGCCAGCGGUUAGGCCGGGAACUCAAAGGAGACUGCCAGUGAUAAACUGGAGGAAGGUGGGGAUGACGUCAAGUCAUCAUGGCCCUUACGACCAGGGCUACACACGUGCUACAAUGGCAUAUACAAAGAGAAGCGACCUCGCGAGAGCAAGCGGACCUCAUAAAGUAUGUCGUAGUCCGGAUUGGAGUCUGCAACUCGACUCCAUGAAGUCGGAAUCGCUAGUAAUCGUAGAUCAGAAUGCUACGGUGAAUACGUUCCCGGGCCUUGUACACACCGCCCGUCACACCAUGGGAGUGGGUUGCAAAAGAAGUAGGUAGCUUAACCUUCGGGAGGGCGCUUACCACUUUGUGAUUCAUGACUGGGGUGAAGUCGUAACAAGGU
rnacentral:rRNA from 1 species